UACGAAGGGGGCUAGCGUUGCUCGGAAUCACUGGGCGUAAAGCGCACGUAGGCGGAUCUUUAAGUCAGGGGUGAAAUCCCGAGGCUCAACCUCGGAACUGCCUUUGAUACUGGGGAUCUCGAGUCCGGAAGAGGUUGGUGGAACUCCGAGUGUAGAGGUGAAAUGCGUAGAGAUCGGAAAGAACACCAACGGCGAAAGCACUCUGCUGGGCCGACACUGACACUGAGAGACGAAAGCUAGGGGAGCGAAUGGG
rnacentral:rRNA from 1 species